rnacentral:rRNA from 1 species
AUUGAACGCUAGCGGCAGGCCUAACACAUGCAAGUCGAGCGAGAGGCGGACGGGUGAGUAAUAUAUCGGACUGUGCCCGGUAGAGGGGGAUAACUACUCGAAACGGUGGCUAAUACCGCAUACUAUCGGAUCGGCCUAUAUUGGAUUAGCUAGUUGGUGGGGUAAAGGCUCACCAAGGCGACGAACCGUAGCUGGUUUGAGAGGAGUACCAGCCACACUGGUACUGAGACACGGCCCAGACUCCUACGGGAGGCAGCAGUGGGGAAUAUUGGACAAUGGGUGCAAGCCUGAUGCAGCCAUGCCGCGUGUAUGAAGAAGGCCUUCGGGUGGUAAAGUACUUUCAGCGGGGAGGCGUUAUCUGCAGAAGAAGCACCGGCUAACUCCGUGCCAGCAGCCGCGGUAAUAC